rnacentral:rRNA from 1 species
UACGUAGGAGGCAAGCGUUGUCCGGAAUUACUGGGCGUAAAGCGCGUGUAGGUGGUGGGACAAGUCUGCUGUGAAAGCGCCUGGCUUAACCGGGCGAGGUCGGCGGAAACUGUCACACUUGAGGACGGUAGAGGGGGGUGGAAUUCCCGGUGUAGUGGUGAAAUGCGUAGAGAUCGGGAGGAACACCUGUGGCGAAGGCGGCCCCCUGGGCCGGCCCUGACACUGAGACGCGAAGGUGUGGGGAGCGAACGGG